rnacentral:rRNA from 1 species
CCUACGGGUGGCAGCAGUGGGGAAUAUUGGGCAAUGGGCGCAAGCCUGACCCAGCAACGCCGCGUGAAGGAAGAAGGCUUUCGGGUUGUAAACUUCUUUUCUCAGGGACGAAGCAAGUGACGGUACCUGAGGAAUAAGCCACGGCUAACUACGUGCCAGCAGCCGCGGUAAUACGUAGGUGGCAAGCGUUAUCCGGAUUUACUGGGUGUAAAGGGAGCGUAGACGGUUAUGUAAGUCUGGAGUGAAAGCCCGGGGCCCAACCCCGGGACUGCUUUGGAAACUGUGUAACUGGAGUACAGGAGGGGCAGGCGGAAUUCCUGGUGUAGCGGUGAAAUGCAUAGAUAUCGCGCAGAACUCCGAUUGCGAAGGCAGCAUGCCGGCUCCACACUGACGCUGAGGCACGAAAGCGUGGGUAUCGAACAGGAUUAGAUACCCCAGUAGUC